rnacentral:rRNA from 1 species
AUUGAGCGGAAGGCGUCGGCCGGAACGGUUGGAGAAUUCGAGUGGCGGACGGGUGAGUAACGACGUGAACAAUACUGUCCCACGACAGGGGGAGUAACACUUGGAAACAAGGUGCUAAUACCGCAUAAGACCACAGAAUCGCAUGGUACAGGGGUAAAAGGAGCAAUCCGGUUUGGGGUGAGUUCGCGUCCGAUUAGCCAGUUGGGGGGUAACGGCCCACCAAAGCGACGAUCGGUAGCCGACCUGAGAGGGUGAUCGGCCACAUUGGAACUGAGAGACGGUCCAAACUCCUACGGGAGGCAGCAGUGGGGAAUAUUGGGCAAUGGGCGAAAGCCCUGACCCAGCAACGCCGCGUGAGUGAAGAAGGCCUUCGGGUUGUAAAGCUCUGUUAUAGGGGACGAAGGAAGUGACGGUACCCUAUAAGGAAGCCCCGGCUAACUACGUGCCAGCAGCCGC